rnacentral:lncRNA from 1 species
GGGGGUGGGGGGCGCCCCGUCUGUGCUCAUCUCCGCCGGCGCUAGCCACUGCGUUGCCCACACCACCGCCUACCGCGACGAAGAAGGGCAGUGGGCUGCUGCUCUACGGUUGGGGGUGGGGCGACCUCGGGAGGCCCGGCCAUGGCAGCCCCAGCGACGUGUUCAACCCACAGCCCAUGACUUCGGGAGGCUUCGUCCUGCUCUUUCUCGUGCAGGAUUCGUUGUUGAUUGGUUUCAGCUGGAGGCUCGAGCAAAAUGUGCAGCUUCACCUUGCAACACCGACGACUCCUUGCUAGCACAUGUAGCCUGAUUUGUUCUUGAGGGACUUAGCUGCUCGCCGGAUCUCAGUGAUCGAAAGUCACAUGUGCCCCAUGCGUUUAUUCCGGUCAAGACGUAAAAUGAUAACCCCUGAUGCCUCGCAAUUCCAACGAGGAGGAGCCUACACUCUUGCAGGCUGUUACAUGGCUGGGGUGAGCUUUAUCUCUUUCGAGGAUUGUUUAUCUCUAUUCCUCAGUUGUUGAUAGUCUCGCUUCAUCUGAUAUUUAAUAGUGACCUCGAUUGUUUAUCUCUAUUCCUC